UACGUAGGGUGCAAGCAUUAAUCGGAUUUAUUGGGCGUAAAGGGCGCGUAGGCGGGGGUGCCAGUCAACUGUGAAAUCCCGGGGCUCAACCUCGGAACUGCAUUUGAAACUACAUCCCUAGAGGGUAGGCGGAGAAAACGGAAUUCCACAAGUAGCGGUGAAAUGCGUAGAUAUGUGGAAGAACACCAGUGGCGAAGGCGGUUUUCUAGCUUAUACCUGACGCUGAGGCGCGAAAGCAAGGGGAGCAAACAGG
rnacentral:rRNA from 1 species